AAAAAACUGGAUAUAUGACUCACCACAUGAUUAAACAAAUCGAAUUAGCCUGUAACGUAAACACUUCUUCCAAUACAAUAAUUGACAAAAUAGAACCACAUUUUCGAGCAGGUACUAUAUGUCUAAUAAAAAUAUAUAACAGAUCAAUAUGAAAUAUCUUAUGAAAUUAUCAUUCCAAAUCGAAUCCAGAAAAUCAAACUAAAAGAAAAGAAUGGAUAUUUUUGCAUAUACAAUUUAUAUUUGCAAUCCGGUAGUAAAGCGGAUCAACAAUUGGAUAUAUUGGAACAAAAAUUGGAACUCAAUUUAACAACUAAAAACUUAGUAAUUGGGGAUUUUAACUUCGUCACCGAACAUAUCGAUACGUUCAGCACGCGAAUAUGGUGAAACGCAACUUAAAAAAUGGGGAAUAAUAAAAAAAAGCUAUACGACGUACACCGGAAAAUACACAAAGACAAAAUUAUAUAUACCUGCACGACUUUUGUUUCUGCCAGCGGAAUAGAUAGAAUAUAUGCUAAAUCAAAACAUCCUUCCGUUAGUUUUAGAUAUCCAUUAUGUGACAAACAACUUUUCGCACCACAACUGCUGCCCGCAAUGGAAUUACGCAUAAAAUGCGGGUCCCUCCUUUUACAAAAUAAAAAAACAAUACGCUAAACCACAAACAUUCAAAAUGCUAUAUACACCUACUGGAAAAAUUGGCGGUUUAUUUUGGAAUGGUGGGAAAAACGGAAAUAAUGAAAAAACGAAGCUACGGACUUUUCAAAUAUAGAAGCCACGUUGAACGAAUUUGUUACAUAGAAUGUGUAAAAAGAUUAAAUGACAUAAAAAUAAACGAUAAAAAUUUUUAAAAUAAUCAUAAAUAUAUAAUCCUACAACAUAAUAUAAACGCAUAGAAGAUAAAAUACACACCAGGGAGCUCUAAUCAGGGCGAAGAUAAAAAAAUACGACAAUGAAGAACAACCAACAAAAGAUUUUUUUCAUGUUCAAUCCCAAUAUAGUAUAUAGUAUCGUUACGAAACAAGGCCUACUAACUGAAAAUAGAACUGAAAUAAUAAUCUAAUGACUUAAUCAAUAUUUCAAUCCCCAACAUAAAAACAAAAGUAUUAAGCGCUUAACUCAGCAGGUUUUUUGAAAUACCAUUAUUACAACCAUUAUCACAUUGGCCACAUUUGCACAGAAUUGGGUUCAAGGUGUUUUCUUUAUACGAAGACUACUUUUUGAAUUAAAUCACAUAAGUCAGACAUUUUAAGGUAUUCUAUUUGAAUAAGGUAAGAAUCUGAGCUUUGGCUCAACUAUAUACAAAUAAAAGAGUUCUUGACCUAAAA